rnacentral:lncRNA from 1 species
CUGUGGAAUUCAAUGCUUUUAUUUACAUGAUACAUUCCUCCAACAUAUGUAACAAUGACACAAUAUAUAUCAUAAUAUAUGUACACAUCGAAACAAUUCAUAGAUAUAGAAAGAUGUGGUAUGAGUGCCAAUGAGACAACUCUCCAUCCAAGUCACCAUUAUAAAAGUAAACCAUUAUAGGUCAAGAUACGGUCUUUAACACGGAGUCUAGGCUCACUCCGAACAGCAAGCUUUAAAGGGCCUCAACAAUUACUAUUGUAAAACCAUUCAAACGGGAAAACCAACGGUGUAAUCUAUAUAACUAGAGGCUCUCAAGAGCCUGUGUCGCUCACCUUGGUCUAUGUGCAUAUUAAAAAAUGGACACAGAUAAAUUCAUGACAAAUUUUGUUUUUUUGUGAUGGUGAUGUGUUUGUAGAUCUUACUUUACUGAACAUUCUUGUUGCUACAAAUAUCUAUAUCUAUAAUGAACUUUGCCCAGUAAUUACAGUGGAAAAUAUUUCCUAAAAAUUAACAAAAAUUUAUGAAAAUUGUAAAAAAUUGACUAUAAAGGGCGAUAUCUCCUUAAAGGGUCAUUUGAAAAUUUUGGUUAUGUUGACUUAGUUGUACCUUUCUUUGUUGAACAUUAUUGCUGUUUACAGUUCAUUUCUAUCUAUAAUAAUAUUCAAGAUAAUAACAAAAAACUGCAAAUUUUAUUUAAAAUUACUAUUUUGGGGCAGAAACCCAACAAGGGGUUGACUGAUUUGUCUGAAAAUUUCAGGGCAGAUAGAUCUUCAUCUGAUAAACAAUUUUAUCCCGCGUCAGAUUUGCUCUAAAUGCUUUGGUGUCAAUAGAUAUAAGCCAAAAUCUACAUUUUACCCUUAUGUACUAUUUUUAGCCAUGGCUUGAUUGGUUGGCCAGGUCACGCCACACAUUUUUUAAACUAUAUACUCCAAUGAUGAUUGUGGACAAAUUUGGUUAAAUUUGGCCCAGUAAUUUCAGAAGAGAAGAUUUUUUAAAAAGAAUACUAAAAUUUUGAAAAAUGGUUAAACAUUGACUAUAAAGGGCAAUAACUCCUUAAGGGUUCCAAUGUUUAUAUACCUCGAACUUCUAAGAGUUUAAACGACCCCUACCUUAUCUGUAGGAUUACCUUAGAUUUCAAUAUAAACAAUAUGCAUGUGUAUAUUUACUGGUAGCAUUUCCAAGUUAUGUCUAUAUGAGAUGAAACAUAGAGAUCAUAACUGGGAAAAUGUAAACAAAUAAAAUUAUCUGUAAAUAUUCUAUAUCUCUCCAAAAGAGGUGUGGUUUGAGAAACAGCUGUAUUUACAAAAAAGUAAAAUCACAAAAAUACUGAACUCAGAGGAAAAUCAAUUCGGAAAGUCCAUAAUCACAUGGCAAAAUCAAAUAACAAAACGCAUCAAAAAUGAAUGGACAAGAACUGUCAAAUUCCUGACUUGGUAAAAGAGGCGUCUUUUGAGAAACAGCUGUAUUUACAAAGUGCAACCUAAACAGACAUGUAUUCAUAUAGAAAAAUCUCUAAAAACACUUUUUCUCACAUUAAUACUUACUUAUCAGAAUUACAGCCUUAAAGAAAUCAUCGCAUAUACUCUAAGUUUUCUUUUACUUUACUUUGUAUACUUCCUCCCCUGUUUCAGUUUUUUUUAACAAUUUAAAAAAAAAGACUUUAAUUAUUGACAGCUUAACCUUUUUGCAUGUUUUCUGACAUGGAAUGCCUAAAACUUGUUUAAAACUGUUCUGAUAACAAAUUGAAAGCAUUUCAGAAUACUGUAAAUGUAAUGUUUAGCAGUCAAUCAUUCCAACAUUUAAGAUUAUUUAAAGUAUACAAUCCUGCCUCUGUCUCCAGUCAACAUCUUACUGUAUGCCUAUGUGUCAAUGAAAGUUCACAAUUUCUGCCUUAAAUGGUAAGUUUAGAAUUUUUGACACAACAGUAUUAUCUCUAACCAUAUAGAUGACAUUUACUUUAGCUAAUAUAUGAUCUAGAAGUGUUAAAACAAUGCCAUAUUUGCAAUAGUUGUAUGCAUGCAGAUAACAGUCUGAUGUACACAUUCACUUAUUUUCUUUUAGAAAUUACUGCUUAUAUCUGAUUUUUGCAUAACUUCCAAGCACAGUUAUUUAUUAUUAUACAAAGACGUUUAAGAUCAUAAAAUCAUAGCAUUUGGAAGUUAAAUUAUUUGUUUGAUGACCUAGGGUGUAGGCAAUUUUCUCUGCUUUUUGCCCCUGGGGCCUCAAAUUUCCUAAAUAAGUCUGCUGUUUCUAGCAAUAUGGAAUAUUUAGUACAUAUUCAGGAUAGGGCACACUAUUGUAAGUUUAAUUGAGAUAUUAUAGUGUUUCUAGCUUGGAUUGUUUAUGUCGUGGUGACAAAAAAGCAGAUUUAGGUGUUACGGUUUACUUUUGGGUUAUGGACUGGACAAAAACACCCAACCAAUAAUUUUGAAGAAGGAUCUAUGAAUUUCAAAGAUAGCGAAGAGUAAAUAUGAGUCCGUUGCUGUGUGUGUUACAUUUUAAUGUUGUGUCGUUGUUCUCCUCUAAUAUUUAAUGCGUUUCCCUCAGUUUUAGUUUGUUACCUCGAUUUUGUUUUUGUCCAUAGAAUUAUGAGUUUUGAACAGCGGUAUACUACUGUUGCCUUUAAAUAUAAGCACUUCUUAACAAUUUAACUUACAAAUAUGCAUGUAUUAUGAUUUUUUUUGGCAUUCAGGGCUUUAAGUAAACUAUGUAUACUGUACACUGUGAAUUG